UGGGGAAUUUUGCACAAUGGGGGAAACCCUGAUGCAGCGACGCCGCGUGAUUUAGAAGGCCUUCGGGUUGUAAAAAUCUUUUGUAUGGGAAGAUAAUGACGGUACCCUGUGAGGAAGCCCCGGCUAACUACGUGCCAGCAGCCGCGGUAAUACGUAGGGGGCUAGCGUUAUCCGGAUUUACUGGGCGUAAAGGGUGCGUAGGUGGUCUUUCAAGUCGGUGGUUAAAGGCUACGGCUCAACCGUAGUUAGCCUCCGAAACUGGAAGACUUGAGUGCAGGAGAGGAAAGUGGAAUUCCUAGUGUAGCGGUGAAAUGCGUAGAUAUUAGGAGGAAUACCGGUGGCGAAGGCGACUUUCUGGACUUUUACUGACGCUCAGGUACGAAAGCGUGGGGAGCAAACAGG
rnacentral:rRNA from 1 species